UUACCCUCCCCAAAAUAGCCUUCCACCAAAUUUAAUUACCAAGGCAGUGUUUGGAUACUGAUGUGUUUUUUCGAUUUUUGUUUUUUUCUCAUUUAUUUUCCCCCAAACCAACGCCAUCCCCUUUUCUCCCCCCUCAACUCUUCAAGGAUCGCGGUCCCCCUCGCGAUUUUCCUCACCUCUUCCGCUCCGCUCCGCUCCGAUCAAGUCCGGUCUCUUUCGAUUCCUUGCGAUCCUCGAUUCCGAAGCCCGACUAGGGUUGGAAUCGUGUAGCGCGUCUCAGAUCGAUGCAGUCAUCUUCGCCGCCAACCCACCCGGUGAUGAUGUGGGCUCCGCCCCCGCCACGGCGGUGAUUGGCGAAGGGCACGUCGGAGGCGGAGGAAGGCGACCGAUGAAGCAGAGGCUGCUGGUGGUGGCGAACAGGUUGCCGGUGUCGGCGGUCAGAAGGGGGGAGGAAUCUUGGUCGCUUGAUAUCAGCGCGGGCGGCCUUGUCAGCGCUCUGCUUGGUGUCCGAUAUUGAUUGGAGGAGUAGAAAGCUAUCAAGAAAGGGGUUGAAUUGUUUC